rnacentral:sRNA from 1 species
UCUUUUCAAAUGAGUGGGCACAUGGCAA